GCAUUGGUGGUCCAGUGGUAGAGUUCUUGCUUUAAAUGUGGGAGAUCCAGGUUUGAUUCCCUGCCAAAGCA
rnacentral:tRNA from 1 species